rnacentral:misc_RNA from 1 species
GAUGAAGAACGUAGCGAAAUGCGAUAAGUAAUGUGAAUUGCAGAAUUCAGUGAAUCAUCGAAUCUUUGAACGCACAUUGCGCCCGGCAGUACUCUGCCGGGCAUGCCUGUUCGAGCGUCAUUUCAACCCUCAAGCCCUGCUUGGUGUUGGGGCCCCACGGCUGCCGUGGGCCCUGAAAGGAAGUGGCGGGCUCGCUACAACUCCGAGCGUAGUAAUUCAUUAUCUCCCUUAGGGCGUUGGGCGGCGCUCCAGCCGUUAAAGAACCAUCUUUAACUCAAGGUUGACCUCGGAUCAGGUAGGAAUACCCGCUGAACUUAAGCAUAUCAAUAAGCGAGGA